ACUGGUCGGAAUCUGGAUUUUAACAGGUGCUUCAGGCGAUUCUGGGACAAAGCUGUAUUUGAGGACCACUGCCUUGGGCCAACCUCUUCAUUUUUUCUUUUGAGGAAACUGAGACCCACAGAAGAUACGUGGGUUUUCUAAGGUGACAGGGCCAUUAAGAGGAAGGACCAAGAGAAAACUCAAGGCGUCUAAGACCUGUCCGGGGCUCAGUGCUCAC